GCUAGUCUUAAAAAAAAAUCAAUAGUUCCAAGCAUUUAUUUUCUUACAGAAAAUAAAUCUUGUUUUCAAAAUCCGUAAUUUUACUGUUUUUCUUGACGUGAUGGUUAUUUGUUGGAAUGCAGCUCUUUUGGAAAAGUUUAAAAAUUGGGUUUUCUGUGUGCCUCCUGUCUCGAUCGAGUUGAAUUCGCUUCGCUUAUUAGCGAUGAAAGUGUCUUUCUAUAUAAGGCACAUUUUAGAUCACUGUUUCUAUAACAAAAUGAAAUUCGUUUUGAUUCUUACGGUAUUCGCGGGACUUUGUUUUGCUGUCAGCCAGGCGGGCUCUCAUCAUUCCAUGUGGGCUGAUUUGAAGCAACUUGAAGAUUGAUAUUAAAAAUUCAAUAAUAUAUACUAUUGUUAUUUCGAUUACAAAUUAGCGAUCAUGUGCUAACAAUAAAACAUUUCUUCAAAGUA